GUCCAAUUUAAAGUUUGCAUUAUAACGACUGCAUGACGACAGCGAAAUAGCAAACAUUUCUUGAUUUGAUGAGUUGAUGAUUGAUAAAUUUCUUAUUCUUCAUUUUUGCUCGUAUUUCUGCAAGAUUUUGUAAAUUUCAAGAAAGAAAGGGCGAAAGAAUCAGCUAAAAGAAGGGAGCCCACGUUAACGAAGGUAAGUUUGUUUUAAAUAUUGAUUUUAUAAUGGC